CCGUGUCGCUUUCCUCCAGCAGGAUUUCAUCCACGCUUUUGCUCUCCUCGUCGUCUUUGGCGUCCGGUUCUAGCGCGAGCCGCGGCUCCGUGCGGCCUACAGAUUGUCCAGCAGAGAUCCUGGAUCUGUUCUGCUCAUGUUCUGCUCCAUGAAUUGCUCCUAAAACAACAUCAAGAACACCACACCUCUAUUUAAAAAAGGUGCAUUACACAGUUCUCGAGUUUGUUCCUCUGGGAAACAGAGCAGAGGAAGUUUCUCUCAUUUCAACUAAACGCGUUUUGUUUUGUAAUAAAAUCUGUUCAGAAAAUAAAGGAAAUGUUGUUUAAAAAGCA